AUGAAGCAAUUGCAAGAGUUGCCUUAUAUUGCAAGUCAACGAAAUUUCAAUGCCGAGAUCUGUUUUGGUUGUUUUAUGAAUGCAAGUUUGUGGUUAACGGCAAGCAUGAUUUGGUCAAAUACACGGUUGAGCAUGAAUUAUGGUGUAACACUGCAAGGUACACGAAAUGAAGACAUGGAAGCAAUUGGGGGUUUAAGCACGGAAGCAUGA